AGAGAUGAGGAGAGUUUUGGCCAAGGAAAGUCUUAUUUUACAUUCUUUUCUAGGAGUGAGUGUUUGGUUUCUGCUCUGGAGGUGCUUGAGAAGGGCAAUAGAUCUUAUCUCCAAGUCUUAUUUUCUAAAGAGGUUCCAAGCCAUCCAUACGCAUGAUGUGAGUAGGAAUCUUUCUCAGAUACUAAGUGGAAACUGAUAUUCACAAGCAACGUUCUAAGUUUGCCAAAUGGCAAAGCCUGUGGGACAGGGGGCAUGAGAACUAACCACACCUCUCUAAACAGCUCCAGCAUCCCAGCAGCCAUUUCCUGCUGACCGCUGAGCAGGAAGAGCACGUGACCCUGGCUGGAGCCGGCAAGAGGGUGGAGAUGAUCAGAAAUCCUUUCACUGUCAAAUUCAGAGAAGAAACAUGCUGAGAAGAGGCAUUUCCUAUGCCAGGGCUACCUGUGCCUUGAGGAAUACAUGUAGGAGACACUAUUUGAAAAGGAUCUUGCAGGUGUGAUGAAGGCAAGGAUUUUAAGACGAGAUCAUCCUAAAUGUGGAUGGGUGAGUCCUACACCUGAUGACUGGUGUGCUUCUAAGGGAAACAAAAGGGAAAUGUAACACAGGGACACCUGGAAGGUCAUGUGAAGGUGAAGGCUGACAUUGGAGUUAUGUUGCCACAAGCCAAGGAAUGACAGGGUUGCUAGCAACCACAAGAACUGAGAAGCCAGCCAUGGAACGAAUUCUUCCUCAGCCUCCAGAAGGAACUCACCCUGCUGACACUUUGAUUUCAGACUCUGGCCUCCAGAACUGUGAAAGAACAACUGUGUGCUGUUUUAAGCCAUCCAGUUUGUGGUAAUGUGUUACAACAAUCCAAGGAAACUAAUAGAAACCCCACGCCUUGGGUCUGAGCAUAGAAGUAAAUUGGAAAUGACUUACAUUGCCUUGA